rnacentral:tRNA from 1 species
GCUAGCGUAGCUUAGUUAAAGCGUAACACUGAAGAUGUUAAGAAGAACCCUAAAAAGUUCCGGGAGCA